rnacentral:tRNA from 1 species
UAGUUCAGUUGGUUAGAAUACCUGCCUGUCACGCAGGGGGUCGCGAGUUCGAGUCUCGUCCA